ACGGCUCCGCCGCCCGCCCCGCCCCACCCUGCGCGCGCGUCAUCAGCGCGCGGCGGCCGUUGGGUGCCAGUGCGCAGGCGCGGAGCUCCCGCCGCCGGACCCGCUCGCUGGGAGUUUCUCUCAAGGCGUCCCAGCCAGGGUGUCCGUUGGUCGUUGUCUGUCGGUCCGUUCCUGAACGAUGGGCUUCACCACAGCUUUAGCCGCGCUCUGAGGUCCGCCGCCCCGAGCGGGGCCCGGGACGGGGCUGUGGCAUUAAUCCGCCUCCAUCUCGCCUUCAGCGGCCGAAGGGACGGAGACCGCGGGGCCUGUGGCAAAGGGCCGGUCGUCGGGGAAACCGCCCGGAUUUAAAAAACCGCGUCCCCAGACGUUAUGAGUGAUUAACGCUGUUGUAGUGUCUGGUCUUCAAGAUGUGCGUGUUCCUGCAGUCCUUAGAAAACAGCCAAGCUGGUAACGCGAGGAAGGCAGUUAGUGCUGUAGUCAGUAAUGCGGCAAAAGCUCCAAAAUUUGUCAGAAGGACAUCCUUUCCUCUUGUUCUCAAGUGUUGCCUUUGGAAAAGAAGACAGAAAAUGUUUACUGCUACUAUAUACAUGUGAUCUCAUCCCAUAUAUUGAGACUCCUACAACGCAGAGGAAAUCCAGAGUACUGAAAAGCUUAUAGGUCACAUCUGAUCUGUAAGAGAUGAUAGCCCAUUUCAUAAAAUUGAGGGAUAAUUUUCUCUUUUGAAACCUGGAUUAUUUUGAAUAAUUCGGUUCAGUGUUGUGCUACCCAUCUCGCAGUCCACAGUUCUGCUAGUCUUCAUCACGCUGCUGCUGGUGUACUGGUGGAAGAAGUAUCUAUGAAGCGCUGAGAUAAUGUGACCUGGAUUUCUGCUGCCUAAGAAUUGAAUCUGCCCAGGUUUGCAGCUCUGACAAACCAGUAUCAUCCCCGUUCCUGGAUUCUCCAAAGCGCCGUUGUGACUCAGGGGUAACUGAAUGAAUACGUACAUUUGGUUACAAACAUGAGAUGAGAAAAUCUGACUGUGCACAUGCUGCAUUGCCAGCGGUAACCAUGUUAGAACAGCAUGUCUUGAUGCAAUUACAGAAAAGGUGGUAUCAGCCCAAGGAUAAGCGGGAUAAAUAAUAAGUGAUCAAGUUAAACCAUUAAAUCAGAACAGGUCUUUUCAAUUAUUUCUCCUGCUUAUUCAGCUUCCAAGUAUAUGUUACACACCAGAAAUUAAUCUUGCCUGCUUGCUGCCUUGAAAGGCUGAAAGUCAUAGUCUUUUCGAAGCAUUUUUGUUUUUCUAUAUACAUACAUAUAUAUAUGGAUGACCUCUUCUGAGACUAAUAAAUCUUGAAGUGAGA